AACGAACGCUGGCGGCAGGCUUAACACAUGCAAGUCGAACGCACUCUUCGGAGUGAGUGGCAGACGGGUGAGUAACGCGUGGGAAUCUACCCAGCCCUUCGGAAUAGCUCCGGGAAACUGGAAUUAAUACCGAGUACGCCCUACGGGGGAAGAUUUAUCGGGUUGGAUGAGCCCGCGUUGGAUUAGCUAGUUGGUGGGGUAAUGGCCUACCAAGGCGACGAUCCAUAGCUGGUCUGAGAGGANGAUCAGCCACACUGGGACUGAGACACGGCCCAGACUCCUACGGGAGGCAGC
rnacentral:rRNA from 1 species